UCCUUUCUCCUGCUCACCCCUCCUUGCACCACCUGCGCAUGUCCAGCUUAGGGAGCCCCAUGGUGGCAGGUGGCCCAGAGAGAAAUGUAACUACCAUGGGACAGUCCUGUCUAUGGCCAGAAAGAGAGUUUCUAGCACCUGCAGCUUUAUUUAUUUUGUACUGCCUAGGCCUGUUCUAGGGAAUACUUCUGCCUUAAAACAGGAGACAGUCUGCCCUGUAAUUACUUAAUUUUGUUGAAUGAGUCUGACAAAUCCAAGUUAGAGUUUCCUUUUAAUUAGGGCUCAAGGAACAAGGCAGACUAAGGGAAUGGGCUGAGAUCCGAGUGAGACCUGGGUUGGCAAAUGAGAUCUUGGCCACACCUUUUGUUCUCUUUUGAGAACAAAAUGCUUGAACUUCCUAAUGUGCAAAAUGAGGACAGCUGGCCUACUAAAUAGCCUUCUAUUCUAUACUUUAACAGUAAUGGCAGGUGGCCAGGGGUGGUUCUGAGUGUAGGAGUGGACAUGAUUAUCUCUGUGCAGUAAGAAACGUCACAACACUAUUAAAAGUAGAUGAAAGGAGGGAGAGGCCGAAGACAGAACAUUUAAGGAAUGCUUGCAUGGUUCCAGACCAUGUUUUCAAUUACUAUUGCCUCUGAUUUUUUUUCCACCAGAGCCCCCUGCCCCUGAACCAAUAUCCUUCUGACCACAAAUCUUUGCUUUUUAUUUUUUUAUUUUUAUAUUUUAGAGACAGGUUCUUGCUCUGUCACCUAGGUUGGAGUGCAGUGGCACAAUCAUAGGUCACUGUAACCUCAAACUUCUUGGCUCAAGAAAUGCCCCUGCCUCAGCUGGGAGUACAGGUGCACACCACCAUGCCUGGCUCAUCCUUGCUUUUAAAUUCCUGUCAGUUAUGGGUUGAACUCUGUACUUUCCGCUCCCAUCAUCAAAGAUAUGUUGCAUUUCUAACCCCAAGUAUCUCAGAAUGUGACUUUUUUUGGCGAUAGAGUCUUUACAGUGGUAACCAAGUUAAAAUGAGAUCAAGAGGGUGUGCCCUAAUUCAAUAUGACUGGUAAACCUGCCAAAGGGAGAAAUCUGGACACAGAGACAGACAAGCAUGUAGGAAGAACACCAUUUGAUGAUGAAGGUAGAGAUGAUGAUGCUUCUAUAAACCAAGGAAUGCCAAAGCUUGCCGGCAAACCACCAGAAGCUAGAAGGGAGACAUGAAACAGAUGCUGUCUCAGCCCUAGGAAAAAAAAAAACAACCCUAUUGACUCCUUGAUCUCAGAGUUGGAGCUUCCAGAACUGUGUGACAAUACAUCUCUGUUUUUCAAGCACUCAGUUUUGCUGCUUUGCUAUAGCAUCCCUCACAGACAGAUAUACUGCCUUUCCAAUCUUCUGGCUUCAGACCUCUGGCUUGUUGUGACCAGCAGCAUUUAUUAAUUUUCUGAUCCCAACUUGAUUUCUUUUUAAUCUCCCUGAAAGGCAUUUGUUUUUGUAUUGUGAAACUUAGACUCUGCUUUCUACCUGGCUCUUUCUUGAGACUAUCCCUAUAUUUUGUGUGUAGCUCUCCACUUAGUCUCUGCUGUGUGUGAUGUGGGGAGAAGAAGAUGGGACUCCUACAGGUGGGGCAGCCGGACCAGCCUCUGUGAUUUUGUGUUCACUCUGUGCUGCUGCCUAUGGUCUCUCAGAAGCUAAACCCCCUGCCAUGGUUUUAACAUCUGAGUAACAUUUAAAGAUGAACUAGAUAAAAAGGCUAGAGAUUUGAAGCCUCUUUGAUUAUUUUUUAUAUUCAUUGGUCUAUCCCAAAUGCAUCUACUCCAAAGUUUGAUUCCUCUUCGGGCACUCAUGGACAUAAAGAUGGCAAUAAUAGACACUGGGGCCACUAAAGUGGGGGAGGGAGGGAGGUGGGCGAGGGUUGAAAAACUAACUAUUGGGUACUAUGCUCACUACCUGGGUGACAGAAUCAAUCAUACCCCAAAUCUCAGCAUCAUGCAAUAUACCCAGGUAAUAAAUCUACACAUGUACCCCCUGAAUCUAAAAUAAAAGUUGAAAUUAUUAAAAAAAAAACACACACAAAGUAUGGUUCUAAAGUUGGGGGUUGAGUUAUAAGCAAGUGAAACACAGUUUAAAUAAUGCGACAACUUUGAACAAUAUUAAAUUCUCAAAUGGUCUAAAGUACACACAAAAAUAUAAGAGCCCAAAGAGACUAUAUCAUCUGUUCACAAAGGUAGUUUCUUAUGAUUAAAUUCCCUUGUGGUAUUCCAAUAUACACUCUCUGAUUAAACUUCUUAUUUAAUAUGACACUGGAAUUUUAUCAUAAGUAUGAAAUAUAUUGCUUUGAUCCUUUCUGGCCAACCUUGUUUUACUAAAUUAAGUCAAAGGUGGCACCCUUUGCUAUCAAUCAACAGACGUGCCUUGAUCUUGCGCUGGUCCCAUAAGCUCUAUGCUGGAAAUAUAAACACGGCCUCUGUCCUGUGUGAGGCUUCCACAUAGUUGAAAAGACAAGGCACUCAGGUCUAAGCACUUAGAGAACAAUUCAAUGCUAAAUGGUGUUGAACUGGCUUUGAUGCAGUCAGUUGGAUUUCACAGAGUUAUUAGGAAACAUUUCCUCCAUAACAUGGAACUUUAGUUUGUUGCUGAUAAGGUCAAGAAAUCCUCCUACUCCACAUUUUCUCUUCUAUCUGCCUGUAUUAUUGGUUGCUUGAUUACAAAUCGGACUCCAAAUAGGACACGCAAAACAGCCCAAGGCAGGAGCUGGUGGAAGAGGCUGUCACCUUUAAUGCUCUGAUGGAAAUUUUGUUCAUCUCAAAUUGAGCCAGAUACAGCUAAGAAAUCAUUACAGUAAGUUUCCUUUUAGUCCAGAGUGUCCCUUCAGAUUCCAUUUCCUGUACUUUAUUUACCAAAAGAUCCACAAUUCUCUAAGAUACAUAUGAUACAAAUGCAAUUUAAAGGAGGCCACUGGGAGUUCCUUUUCCAUUUUCCUGGUAGAGGAGAUGAGAGACAAGUUCCCAGCUUGGAAUUUGUACAGACGUGUUUCCAAUAAAGCGCAAGCGGACCUUGUGUCUCCAUUGUUCCCUUCCCAUUAGCCACGAGGCAGUGCAGAUGAAGUGUGAGCUCACAUGCAGGGUAAUAAAGCCAUCAUUUGCUUUUCUCCUCACAUGGAAAGGGCCUUUGUGUUGUUUUCUUCACAAAAGUGCAGAUUUAAUUUGAAGUUGGGGAAAAGAGGAAGGAAAAACAACUUUCCAAAACAUGAGACAACAGUUCUCCUUAAUAGAAACCACAUUUUCCCUCUAAAUUAUGGUACCAAAGGGUCCCUGUGCACAGGUUGGGGGGUAAUAAAGGUGGACUUCAGGAGGGCUUGAAGGACUGUGGUUGAUAUUUUGGCCCAUCUGGGCUCAUAUCUCUUGGGCUUCCUGAGAUUCAUGAAACAUUCUGGGGCCACAGUGAAACGUGAGAAACCCUCCAGAAGAGUGACCGUAGAAAUAAAGAGCAAUGGUUAUUUAUGUGUUUAGACCAGAGGUCAGAACAUUUUUUAGUUCUGAAGGCCAUUAGUGAGUUAAAUAAGGUCUGUGGGGACUGUAGGUUCCAAUGGUGGGACUAAAAUAUAGGCAUGGGGGAGAGAGUAAAGUUAGGUAGAUUGAAGAUAGGAGAAGGGAAGAGAAGAAAGGGGGAUGUAGGGAAAGAAAAGCAUCCAUGAGGGAUUAAACUAGUAGUUGCAACCAGCAGUAACUUCUGGCUCUGCUUUUGGUUGAAUUUUUUUUCCUUGGUUUAAGCAGGAUUCUCAUAAUUUUCUCUAUGAAAGGUACUUGGAAUUUUGAAAUGUGCCUGGAUUUUUCUGCAGUUUACUCUCAUGGGGUAAAGUGUGGAUGAUAUAAGUUACUGGGGGUGGGGAGUUGUCAGAGUGAAUAGAGCUUGGGGGACUCUCAAGUGAAAACUCCCUUGAAUCAUGGGGGCAAGGGUAGUACAAUUUGCUUCCUCCAAGUGUAAACUAUGAUUACCAAAUCUCAAGGGUGCUGGAUUAUAUGUAGCUUUAAAAUAAGUCUUGCAGGUUGCAGCUACUACUGAUUCAGAGACAGUGAAGUCAGAUAACAGCAAUUGAAGGCUUAGAUCAGGUUGAACGAUCUUUGCAAUUCUCCAACUCCUUCUUAGUCAUGAUCCAUUCAAAAACUAUGGGCUCUCCAAGGCCAGGCUGCAGCCAGGAGAAAGGACAGUGACCAUGUGAACACUUAAGUCCCUGGAAAAAUGCUUUCGGGAAGAAAACAAAUGUAGUCAAAUAUCCAUAGAAGUAUUCUUGCUGGUCGCCUUCAAUUCUAGGCGAGGGUGGUAGAAUAGAAGCAAGGAAAAGCAAGUUAUCUGUGUGGGCAUUAUCAUUGAGAGGGAAUUAUCAGUAAUUAACAGGGGCAUUGACCAAUAACAAUGACAAAUCAUAGUGUUUCAGAGGGAAAUUAGUUUGGGAUAAAACAAGGACCAUGGGACAUCAGUCUGUGUUAGGUGCUAUGGCCCUUUAUGGAGUUUUCACAUUUUAAGAAGUGCUUGGUGGUGCUACAGAAUUUUAGAAUGGAAAACAUCAUCUUGUUGAGCUGAGCUGGACACUUGGUUGUCAAUUCUGAAGAAUCUGUAAGGCAGGACAUUCUAAUAGCUUCAUUUUUUUUUUUUUUUUUUUUUUUUUUUUUUAGCUGCAGUUACCAUCCUCAAACACAAAAGUAAUUGAUACUCAGCAAUGAAAGCUGCAUGUGCAUGUGGGGGAGAGAAGGAGGUUUCACCAGACUGACAAAUGGAGUCAUGGUUCUGGGAAGGAGCAGGUAAGGAGGAAU
rnacentral:lncRNA from 1 species